CUUGGUAUUCCGAGGGGCAUGCCUGUUCGAGCGUCAUUACACCACUCAAGCUAUGCUUGGUAUUGGGUGCCGUCCUUAGUUGGGCGCGCCUUAAAGACCUCGGCGAGGCCUCACCGGCUUUAGGCGUAGUAGAAUUUAUUCGAACGUCUGUCAAAGGAGAGGACUUCUGCCGACUGAAACCUUUAUUUUUCUAGGUUGACCUCGGAUCAGGUAGGGAUACCCGCUGAACUUAAGCAUAUCAAUAAGCGGAGGAAAAGAAACCAACAGGGAUUGCCCUAGUAACGGCGAGUGAAGCGGCAACAGCUCAAAUUUGAAAGCUGGCCUUCGGGUCCGCAUUGUAAUUUGUAGAGGAUGCUUUGGGUGAAACGCCAGUCUAAGUUCCUUGGAACAGGACGUCAUAGAGGGUGAGAAUCCCGUAUGUGACUGGAAAUGUUAACCUAUGUAAAGCUCCUUCGACGAGUCGAGUUGUUUGGGAAUGCAGCUCUAAAUGGGAGGUAAAUUUCUUCUAAAGCUAAAUAUUGGCGAGAGACCGAUAGCGCACAAGUAGAGUGAUCGAAAGAUGAAAAGCACUUUGGAAAGAGAGUUAAAAAGCACGUGAAAUUGUUGAAAGGGAAGCGCUUGCAAUCAGACUUGUUUAAACUGUUCGGCCGGUCUUCUGACCGGUUUACUCAGUUUGGACAGGCCAGCAUCAGUUUCGGCGGCCGGAUAAAGGCUCUGGGAAUGUGGCCUUCACUUCGGUGAAGGUGUUAUAGCCCAGGGUGUAAUACGGCCAGCCGGGACUGAGGUCCGCGC
rnacentral:rRNA from 1 species